rnacentral:rRNA from 1 species
AGCAGCCGCGGUAAUUCCAGCUCCAAUAGCGUAUAUUAAAGUUGUUGCAGUUAAAAAGCUCGUAGUUGAAUUUCGGGGUUCAUCCGUUGGCCGGGCUUUUUUGGUCUGUACUGGCGUGAUGGAUUCCUACCUUCUGAAUAACCAGCAUGUCAUUAAUUUGGUGCGCUGGGGAAGCAGGACUGUUACCUUGAAAAAAUUAGAGUGCUUAAAGCAGGCUAUCGCCUGAAUACAUUAGCAUGGAAUAAUGAAAUAGGACGGCAUGGUUCUAUUUUGUUGGUUUCUAGGAUCACCGUAAUGAUUAAUAGGGAUAGUUGGGGGCAUUAGUAUUCAAUUGUCAGAGGUGAAAUUCUUGGAUUUAUUGAAGACUAACUACUGCGAAAGCAUUUGCCAAGGAUGUUUUCAUUAAUCAAGAACGAAAGUUAGGGGAUCGAAGACGAUCAGAUACCGUCGUAGUCUUAACCAUAAACUAUGCCGACUAGGGAUCGGAUGAUGUUAUUUUUUAAUGACUCAUUCGGCGCCU